UGCGUAGGCGGUUUGUUAAGUCUGACGUGAAAUCCCCGGGCUCAACCUGGGACGUGCGUUGGAAACUGGCAAUCUAGAGUACGGUAGAGGGUGGUGGAAUUCCCGGUGUAGCAGUGAAAUGCGUAGAGAUCGGGAGGAACACUCGUGGCGAAGGCGGCCACCUGGACCAGUACUGACGCUCAAAUGCGAAAGCGUGGGGAUCAAACAGGAUUAGAUACCCCGGUA
rnacentral:rRNA from 1 species